UGGGGAAUAUUGCACAAUGGGCGAAAGCCUGAUGCAGCAACGCCGCGUGAGUGAUGAAGGUCCUCGGAUUGUAAAGCUCUGUCUUUUGGGACGAUAAUGACGGUACCAAAGGAGGAAGCCACGGCUAACUACGUGCCAGCAGCCGCGGUAAUACGUAGGUGGCGAGCGUUGUCCGGAUUUACUGGGCGUAAAGGGUGCGUAGGCGGAUGUUUAAGUGGGAUGUGAAAUACCCGGGCUUAACUUGGGUGCUGCAUUUCAAACUGGAUAUCUAGAGUGCAGGAGAGGAGAAUGGAAUUCCUAGUGUAGCGGUGAAAUGCGUAGAGAUUAGGAAGAACACCAGUGGCGAAGGCGAUUCUCUGGACUGUAACUGACGCUGAGGCACGAAAGCGUGGGUAGCAAACAGGAUUAGAUACCCUGGUAGUCCACGCCGUAAACGAUGAGUACUAGGUGUAGGAGGUAUCGACCCCUUCUGUGCCGCAGUAAACACAUUAAGUACUCCGCCUGGGAAGUACGAUCGCAAGAUUAAAAC
rnacentral:rRNA from 1 species